CUGGAAAACCAAAGUGGAGAAGUGGCGUCUAAUGAGGUAAGUGUUGGUUGCACAGCCAUGUCUCAUGAAAGUGAAAGUUUUCCAAAGAAAUCCAGAAAAAAUGCUUUAAAGGUCCAUUCACGGCUCAUCACAAAGGUAGAAAUUUGUGAUAAGAAGGGAUCUAAUAAGAGUCAAGCAGCAGCAAUUUCCAAUCACACAAGGAAACGUAGCAAUGUAAAGAAGAGUUCUGCCAGUGCUCUGCUGUGCUUUCAGUCAAGAGCUAGCAAGGAAAAACUGGAGGUGGCCAUUAACAGUGGAAAGAAUUUAGAUGUGAGUUCUCAUGAUGGAGCUGGUGGGAGAAUGAUGUUAGCACUCAAUGAAGAGAAAGCAGCCAAGUCUUUUAACUCAGGUUUUCCUAAUUUUGUCAGAAUUAUGAGGAAGUUCAACACCAGUGGUUCGUAUACUCUGAAAAUCCCUCACCAGUUUUCUGCAGCACAUCUCCCCAACUGCAAAACAGAGGUAGUCCUUCGUAAUUCACAAGGAGAAUGCUGGACAGUGAAUUCAGUUCCAGACUCAAAAGGGCGAAGUGUACAUACAUUCUGUGGAGGAUGGAUGGCCUUUGUUCGUGAUAAUGAUAUCAAAAUGGGGGAUGUCUGCAUAUUUGAACUUGUUAGUAAGUGUGAGAUGCUAGUGCAUAUAUCUGGAGUUGGAGGAAAAGCACUCCAGCUCAUUCACGAGGCAUGUUGAACAGUUGAAGAAUUCAAUCAUCGCCCAAACAAAUAUUUGGGUUGGGCUUCAUUUUCGUGUUCAGAAGAUCCAACAAGGUGAUAUUUACAUUUUUUGGGCAGAGGGGCAAGUUGAAGUGCUUUGUACGUGCACACUGAAGGAACGAAAUAUUGCUGAAGGAAGUGGAAACAUCUUAUCCGUUUUGUGUUUCAAUUCUAUGCUUCCUUGGUGAAAUAUUGUUCCCAACUAAUCCUUUUACCAAGAAGCAACCACCUUGAAUGUACAUGCAACGUAUCCUCAGUGCUUCUGUUCAUUUUAGCUUGUAAUUGUAGCCCAGCAUGCGCUGAAGAAAAACUACAGUUAUAGACAACUGC
rnacentral:misc_RNA from 1 species